AGCUCCGCGGGCCCUGUGCGCCGGAAGCGGGCCCGUGGCCUGGUUGCGGUCGGCUGUUGCGUGUCAGGAAAAGGCUAACAGAUUGUAAGAAAAACUGAAGCCAUGUUUCGAAGACCUGUGUUCCAGGUGUUUCGUCAGUUUGUAAGGCAUGAGUCUGAAGUGGCCACCAGUUUGGUUCUUGAACGAUCUCUGAACCGUGUCCAGUUACUUGGACGAGUCGGGCAGGACCCUGUCAUGAGACAGGUGGAAGGAAAAAACCCAGUCACGAUAUUUUCUAUGGCAACCAAUGAGAUGUGGCGGUCAGGGGAGAGUGAAGCAUACCAAAUGGGUGACGUCAGUCAGAAGACAACAUGGCACAGAAUAUCAGUGUUCCGACCAGGCCUCAGAGAUGUGGCAUAUCAGUAUGUGAAAAAGGGGGCUCGCAUAUUUGUGGAAGGGAAAGUGGACUAUGGUGAAUACAUGGAUAAAAAUAAUGUGAGGCGGCAGGCAACGACCAUCAUAGCUGAUAACAUUAUAUUUCUGAGUGACCAGAUGAAAGAAAAGGCAUAGAGCGGAUGAUUCUUCUUUGAUGAUUGCUUGGAUUUGCAUUAUAUGCUGUGAAGACUGGUGGGAGUGACAGCAAGACGAGUCAUAGAAAGGAGCAGUGGCCCUCAGGUGCCAUCCAGAGCAUGAAGUAGUCUUCAGAGUAGAAGAUGGAAGAAGCCAAGACUGUGAUGAUAUACAACCACCAGAGCAUACCUGGACAGCCUACCUCUGAAUUCUUUGGGAGAUGUAAAUAAACCUCUUGUGUUU